CAUGCGCUCGAGGAUGAAGCGGCUUCUAGUUGAUUUCCCGGGGCUCUCUGGAGUGAAGCCGCCCGACCCUCAAGUCGGACAUUCGGACAACAAGAGAGGACAAUAGACACAGCGGAGGGAACUUAAGUGUAUUUUUUCAACAGAGGCACAACCGCUAAACCUGAUGUAGCGGGAGUAUUACCACUGAAAGGCAGUCGAGAGAAGAAACUGUCCUAUUUUGUAGAAGCACCGUGUUGGGACCGAGCCUCCGUCCGAGUCCACCCAGACAUGGUCCACUGUCAGCCGAGGCCGCCGAGGACUCUACUACCGCUGCGUUGAACUUGCCGAAAAAAACGUUUGGGAGUUGGGAAAAGAACGCUUCUGUGUAAUUGGGGAGUGAUACCGGCAGUCAUGCCCGAUCAAAUCACCGUGUCAGAGUUUGUGGUGGAGACCAACGAGGACUACAAGUCACCCACCGCCUCCAACUUUACCACCAGGAUGUCCCACUGCAGGAACACCGUGGCUGCCCUCGAGGAGGCUUUAGAUGUGGACCGCAGCGUUCUAUACAAGAUGAAAAAAUCAGUGAAGGCCAUCUACACGUCUGGUUUGGCUCAUGUGGAGAAUGAGGAGCUGUACACACAAGCGUUGGAGAAGUUUGGAGAAAACUGUGUGUACAGAGACGAUCCAGAUUUGGGUUCGGCUUUCCUGAAGUUCUCUGUCUUCACCAAGGAGCUCACGGCGCUCUUCAAAAACCUGUUCCAAAACAUGAACAACAUCAUCACCUUCCCUUUGGACAGCCUGCUGAAAGGAGAUCUGAAAGGAGUCAAAGGGGAUCUAAAAAAGCCUUUUGACAAAGCCUGGAAGGACUACGAAACAAAAGUCUGCAAAGGACAUUCUUUACUGAAAGGCACGAAAAUAGAAAAGGAGAAAAAGGAGCACGCCAGACAGCACGGGAUGAUCAGGACGGAGAUUAGCGGGGCGGAAAUUGCUGAGGAGAUGGAGAAGGAAAGGAGAUUCUUUCAGCUACAGAUGUGUGAGUAUCUUCUCAAAGUCAACGAGAUCAAAAUCAAGAAGGGAGUGGACCUGCUGCAGAACCUCAUCAAAUACUUCCAUGCGCAGUGCAAUUUCUUUCAGGAUGGUCUCAAAGCAGUGGACAACCUGAAGCCUUCCAUAGAAAAACUGGCCACUGAUCUCCACACAAUAAAGCAGGCGCAGGAUGAGGAGCGGAAGCAGCUGACACAGUUACGAGAUGUUCUUAAGACAGCGCUACAAGUGGAGCAGAAGGAGGAUUCACAGGUGCGUCAGAGCAAUACCUACAGCCUCCAUCAGCCGCAAGGCAACAAGGAACACGGCACUGAGCGCAGCGGCUACCUUUACAAGAGAAGCGACGGGUUGCGUAAAGUGUGGCAGAAGAGAAAGUGUACGGCAAAGAACGGAUACCUCACCAUCCCACAUGGCACUGCAAACAGGCCUCCAGCUAAACUGAACCUGCUCACCUGUCAGGUGAAGAACAAUCCUGAGGAGAAGAAGAGCUUUGACCUCAUUUCGCAUGACAGAACAUAUCACUUUCAGGCUGAGGAUGACCAGGACUGCCAAAUCUGGAUCUCCGUGCUCCAGAACAGCAAAGAGGAGGCGCUGAACCAAGCCUUCAAAGGGGACCAGCACGUCGGCGAAAACAACAUUGUGCAGGAGCUGACCAAGGCCAUCCUGGCUGAAGUGAAGAGGAUGACGGGAAACGACGUGUGUUGCGAUUGCGGCGCGCCCAACCCAACAUGGUUGUCCACCAACUUGGGCAUCCUCACUUGUAUCGAAUGCUCAGGGAUCCAUAGGGAGCUGGGAGUCCACUACUCCAGGAUCCAGUCACUCACUCUGGAUGUACUCAGCACCUCAGAGCUCUUGCUGGCCAAGAAUGUGGGGAAUGCAGGCUUCAAUGAAAUAAUGGAGGCUUGCUUAAGUGCUGAAAACGCGAUGAAACCCAACCCCUCCAGUGACAUGCAGGCGAGGAAAGACUUCAUCAUCGCUAAGUACACAGAGAAGCGCUUCGCCAGGAAGAAAUAUCCAGACUCGGCGUCGCGGCUCCACACGCUGUGCGAAGCAGUAAAGGCUCGGAACAUCGUCUCCCUCAUCCAGGUCUACGCCGAGGGAGUAGACCUCAUGGAGCCCAUACCGCUUGCCAACGGACAUGAGCAGGGAGAAACGGCGCUUCAUCUUGCGGUCAGACUGGUGGACAGAACGUCGCUCCACAUUGUCGACUUUCUCACUCAGAACAGUUUAAAUUUGGAUAAGCAAACGACCAAAGGGAGCACGGCGCUGCACUACUGCUGUCUGACUGACAACAGUGAGUGCCUGAAGCUGCUGCUGAGGGGGAAGGCCUCCAUAGACAUUGCUAACGAGACCGGGGAAACGCCGCUGGACAUCGCCUGCAGGCUCAAACACCUCCAGUGUGAGGAGCUGUUGAAUCAGGCGCUGGCGGGGAAAUUCAACGCACACGUUCACGUGGAGUAUGAAUGGUGCCUGCAGCAUGAAGACUUGGAUGAGAGUGAUGAGGACCUGGAUGAAAAGCCCAGUCCUCACCGCAGGGAGGAGCGUCCGGUCAGUUGUUACACACCCAGCACCAACUCCCACCUGCAGGCCCGUGACAACGCCGGUCUGGCCAAGGACAAGCAGCGGUCCUACCUGCCUAAUCUGGUCAACAACGAGACCUACGGCACCGUCAUCAACAACAACCCGCCUCAACAACCCGGUCUGCCCGCAACCACCGCCGGACCACCGCUGCCCCCGAGAAACAUUGUCCAACUAACCGGCCUUGGUGGGACGCCUCAACCCUCAUCUUCCAACAACUGGAAGCCCGGUUCUUUAGACCUGGUUGGACGUCAGAGAUCGUCUUCAGACCCCCCCAACAUGCACCCUCCUGCUCCCCCUUUCCGGCUCACCUCGGCAGGAGGGAAGAGUGAUGGAAUGAGCUCACAAAACAAGUCGGGUCAAGGACCUGCAGGAUCCAGCAGAGCCAAUCAGUCCAAGUCCCCUGCAGGCAAUGGCAAAGGCUUCAGCCGAGGACCCCUAAAUCGGACGGAAUCGAUUGAGCGACCAACUAAGGCAGUGCCAGGAUGUCCCCAGAACUCCAUAGGUCAGUCUUUUCCUUCAGCACCCAACUCCAGAAAGGCCUACCCAAAGCACAGGCCAAAGCGAGUGAAAGCCAUCUACAACUGUGUGGCAGACAACCCCGACGAACUGACCUUCUCUGAGGGCGAGGUCAUUGUGGUUGACGGUGAGGAGGACCAAGAGUGGUGGGUGUAGCUGAUGUUAAAAAUGACUAAAUGGAGCUUUUCACUCUUGUCCUCACUGUCAAGCUGGGCCACAUCGAGGGAGACCCGACAAGACGCGGAGCCUUCCCGGUCACCUUUGUACAGUACGCUGCAGACUGAACGCUCAGGUGGUCGCCCUUCGUCUCUGGUGGUGGUCAUGACAACAAUCUGAGCAUCUCUUCCCCUAAUGUGUGUGCUGUUUAUUAGGAUUGUUGUAAGAAAGAAAAGCAUGAGUGUUGCCAACCACCUUUCACAAUAAAUGCACUUUCCUCGCUGCUCCGUCACACACGAUGAAGAUUGUCCAGGACUCACUUUCUCCUCCUCCUCCUCUUCCUCCUCCUCCUCUUCCUCCUCCUUUUUCUUUCAACCUGAACUGUGAAUGAGCAUGAGCUUACUCCGCUGAUUAAUAACAAGCACCAACACGACUCUUCUUCUCUGCUUUUUAAUUAGGGUUUAUAUGAUGUAUGUGUGCUAAAUAUGUCUUAUAGCCUCAUUGUGUGUGCCUCCCUUAAGAUGAAUGUAUACAAGUAUACAGUUCCAUGCAAAAUGACUCAUUUUCUGGGCAAAUGUUCAGUUGAAGUGCAUUUAUAGCCAGUGAAAAUGUAUCUUUUAGCUGACAAUGACACGGGGACUUUUAAUUACUCAUGUUUAAGUUCUAAGUAAAAUAAUUUAGAUACUUAAGAUCAGUGUUUCCCAAAUGACACAUUUUUGUUCUUCACUGGGAAAAAAAAUCCAACAAUGGAAUGAUGCUGUAUAUGAAUAUAAAUAAUACAGAAUAUGACAGGCAUGAAUAUAAAUGCAUUGUAUGAUUGCUUGAUUAUAAAAUUGCUUCUAAGUAAUUUAACUAAAUGGUGACCCCCCCCCUCAAAAAAUACUUCUAAAUUUGGCCAAUAUUACAAAAAAUAUACAAAUAAUAUACAAAAAAAUAAAAUAUUAAAAUAAAAAUAAAUACAUUUGGCCAAUACUUUUUUUUUUAUUUUUUUAGAUUAACCAUUUGUUUUAUUUUCAAAAAUCCCACAGAAUGUUAAUCAAUCUGAUUAAAGAAAAUAGAACAACUCCAACCCAAUCCCAGAUGUGCAAUAUUUAGGAUAUAAAUGUACAGAGCAAGCGAGAAGAGAUACAAAUAUUAUAUUUAAAAAAAAAAAAAAAAUUAUAAUAUUAGCAACAACAGCAUUGAUAACCAUAAUAUUAAGAAUAACAUCAUUAAUAGUAAUUAAAAGCGAUUAACUUAAUUGCUUGCAAUAUGUAUAAUUUUUAUCAUAACUUAUCAUUUCCAUCACAAAAUAUAUUUACUUGUUUUCCCUCUCCCCCCAUAGGCUCAAGGCCUUAAAAAAAAAAGCAAAUAUUUUUUACUAAUUUUAUUUUUAUUUUGGAGCAUUUUCAGCUAUAAAAUACACAUUCAACAGCCAGAAAUGAACUUUAAAACAAUUGCUGUCUUGUCCACCUAAAACAAAUGGUAGGAUGUUAGGUGCGUGUCUUGAAAUAAGCAUUUUAAUGUAACGUAGUUGGAUGUUGUGUUGCAGAGCAACUUGAUACAAAGUGAAUAUUUACUGUGGGCAUUGAACGUCACACCAUGAGAGCCUUUGUGAGAGUUGCAGCUAAUGCUUUAAUGGUGUUUGUUAUGAACUCACUGGAAACGGGAAGAUUUAAACAUUUACAUGUGUACAUAGAUGGAUAUAAGUAUGUGUGUGUUGAUAUUUAAAUGUAGACAAGAGAGCACUGCGGUGUGGCGGGAAACUUUUUGUUUGUACAGAAUAUGUGUGUGAAAUAACAUCACUUGUCUUUAUUUGUUGUUGGAUCUCUUUAAAUGGGAAAUGAAACUGGAAUAAAAUGAUAUAAAAAUU